AUUGAACGCUGGCGGCAUGCUUUACACAUGCGAGUCGAACGGCAGCGCGGGCUUCGGCCUGGCGGCGAGUGGCGAACGGGUGAGUAAUGCAUCGGAACGUGCCCAGUAGUGGGGGAUAGCCCGGCGAAAGCCGGAUUAAUACCGCAUACGACCUGAGGGUGAAAGCGGGGGACCGAAAGGCCUCGCGCUAUUGGAGCGGCCGAUGUCGGAUUAGCUAGUUGGUGGGGUAAAGGCUUACCAAGGCGACGAUCCGUAGCUGGUCUGAGAGGACGACCAGCCACACUGGGACUGAGACACGGCCCAGACGCCUACGGGAGGCAGCAGUGGGGAAUUUUGGACAAUGGGGGCAACCCUGAUCCAGCCAUGCCGCGUGCGGGAAGAAGGCCUUCGGGUUGUAAACCGCUUUUGUUCGGGAAGAAAUCCUCUGGGCUAAUACCCCGGGGGGAUGACGGUACCGGAAGAAUAAGCACCGGCUAACUACGU
rnacentral:rRNA from 1 species